GUGAGGUUUUUCUGAACGUUUUGAGUUUAAUGACUUAUUUCCUCUUAACAUCUCUUUGACUAAGCACUGCUUUUCUCGUAGUAAAGCGAGAUGGUUUGGACACGCAAGGAGUGAUCUGGGAAGAGUGGUUUGUUAACAUGGGUCCCAGAACAGAGAGAUUGAAGCCCAAAUUACUUCCUGGUUGUGAGGUCCUGUUGUCGAACAGUGAGGUUGGAGGAAGCCUGGAGAGGUCCUUUAGCCCGUCCCCCUCUUCUGAGACGGGAGUGAUAUUAUACCCAGAGCUUUCCUGAUGGGCGUUUGUCCAACCCACACUAAAGGGCAGCCGGAGAGGAGCGUUCCCCUUAACCUGCCCAGGACAAGCACGUGAUUGGAAAGCAGAAGAGCUGAGUCAUCCCCUGAGAAGAAAUUUCCCGCAGCAGAUGUUACGCCAUGCGAUCCUGCUAUCUCUUGCAGUCGUUGCUGGAGGAACUACUGUCUCACUCCAAGCCCUGAAUGAAGAUAACACGGUCCCAGUCCUCCAGCCGCAUCGCUACAGCAAAGAUAAACUCCCCGCUUAGUGUUCGCUGCAGAACAAGUGUCAGUGAAUCUUCUCUAUUUGGAAGCAUCCCUUGUCUGUACUGAGACCUUACCUUUGAAAGGUGACAAUGGGAAACAUUCUGCUACAUUUUGCAAUGAAGAUUUAUUUACGUAUGUUAUCUGGGAGCCAUCCUGUCGUUUCUAACACUGUGACUUCUGCGUGAAUCUUCUGUGCGACUCUUCUGUGCUUUUCUCUGGCAUUGAGUGCCAGCUUUAUGCCAACAAUCUUGGACGACAGUUUACUACAUCUAAAUUCAGUCUCCAUUUCUGUUAUAUAUUGCCUGUGAUUUAAAGCAAGUCACUUAAUUGUCUUGUUCCUCAUCUGUAACGUAAUCCUGCAUUUUUCCUCCCUGUCAUCUGCCUGCUUUCUGUGGAUCAUGUGGUGGUCCAGGCAGGGCUGUCUUGGGUGCGGUUGUCUCAGCAGACUGUUUUAAACCAAUAAAGUACUUUGGGUGAUUAACUUUUG